GACGAACGCUGGCGGCGUGCUUAACACAUGCAAGUAGAACGAGUGGCGAACGGGUGAGUAACACGAGGGUGAUAUGCCUUGCACUUCGGGAUAAGCUUGGGAACCUGGGACUAAUACCGGAUAAUGCAAGAUGCACUCGCGGCCUAUCAGCUUGUUGGUGGGGUAAUGGCUACCAGGGCGCGACGGGUUGCCGGCCUGGGAGGGUGUAAGGAGACAGUGGGUCUGAGAGACGGCCCUGAAUCCUGCGUGAGGCAGCAGUGUGGGAUAUUGCAACAGGGGCGGAAUCCUGUCGCAGCGACUCCGCGUGGGAGAUGGUCGGCGUCGGGUUGUAAGCUCCGUUCGAAAGGGACGGGGUAGCUGGAUAGGCUGCGCCGGGAAACCACGGGCCAGCAGCCGCGGUAAUAC
rnacentral:rRNA from 1 species